CCUUAAUAGCGUGAAUAUCACUUCCUCUCCUUGCAGACCUACGUGCUGGUUACCAGAGGGAUGAGGGAGCUAGGUCUCUGUCCUCAGGAAGCCCUCAGCCCAAGGAGAUGCAGCAACUGAACACAAACGGGCGAACCUCAGAUGUCCUUGGCUAGCUUCAACUUGGACGUUGCACGGUGGACUCCCUCUGGAGCAAAGAGCUAGAUGCUAAUGAAGUCACCACCAGGCUCCCCGGAGCCUUCUGGAGGCAGCAGUCAAGACUGACAGUCUCCUCCAUCAGGCAGCCUGGAGUCACAGGCUCCCAAGGGCUCUUGAGUCUUGUGACUCAGGGCAGGAGAUGAACACUCCCUGAUUUGUUUCUUUCUCUUCUUAUCCAUGAAUCUGCAACUGUACACCCCACCCCCCGCACCCCCCACAUCACAUGCAAUCAAUCAGUGUGCAUGGUGCCUGUCAGACUGAGCCUCCUGUUCUGUGUCCAGACAAGGGCCCCAGCAACAUCUGCACUCUGACCUGAGGAAGGUUCAUCCCAGGCCACAGGUUCUCACUCUGGUCACAGGUAAAUGGCACCAAGCCUGAGGUCACAGUGAUCUUUUUGACUCUGGUUCAGUGUUAUGCAAAAUCCAGAUGUGAUUGGCCCCUCCCCAAGCUACCAUGAGAGACAUGUGGCUAGUGUCUGCUGGAUGCUGGUCCCUGUUCAUAGCUUGCCCUGCCUUGAAAGGAAUCUACUUCCAACCUGGGGUUGCCAAGGCAGCCAUCUCUUCCCAGCGCUGGUUCCAAAUCUGUCUUACCUUCACUGCAAUGUAGUGGUACCAAAAAGUGACAAGGUCACACAAGUAUUAGGUUGCAGGCUUUGCUCAUUGCUCCUCCCACUCAAGAAAAGAACAUAUUUCAAAGAAACUAGAACACAUACCCUUUCAGCUCCUGAUGUAUCUCUCUCCCUCUCUUUGGUUGCUCUAUCAUUUGUCUGUGUAUCAUCUGUCUACUAUCUGUCUGUCCAUCUAUCUAUCUAUCUAUCUACUGUCUAUCUACCUAUCAUGUAUUGAUCAUCUAUUUGUCAUCAACCUAUCAUCUGUCUAUCAUUUAUCUAUCAUGUAUUGAUCAUCUAUUUCUGUUAUCACCUUUCAUCUGUCUAUCAUUUAUUUAUCAUGUAUUGAUCAUCUAGCUGUCAUCUAUUGAUCAUUUAUAUUAUCUGUCAUCUACUGAUAAUCAUUUCUAUCAUUUAUGUAUCAUCUAUCAUUUAUCUAAUAUCUACCUGUCUUCUAUCAUCCAUACCACCAACUUUUAAUCAGUUUUUUAUCAUUCAUCUAUGAUAUCAUCUACGUAUUUAUGUACAUAUGUAUGAAUAUAUGUGUCUAUCAAUCUAUCAUCAACCAAUCAUCCAUAUCUAUAUCAAUAUGUCUAUCCUUCAGUCAUCUAUCAAUCAACCUAUCAAUCAUCUAUCUAUCAUCAAUAUGUCCUCUUAUCUGUCUACCUAUCUGCUCUUUGGGUUGUUACCUGAGUCUAAUUCUGAAAAGAAAGCAACAAACAAGAAGUCUGACUUGGGAUCACAGAAUUUUCAACGCUCAGGUAAAAUUACAUAAGGUCAUCAAUAUGCAAAUUACUUUUGUCUUUCAUGAAUAAUAAAAUCAUAGGUAUAGAAAGGAUUUUAAAAAAAAAUCUUAAGGUAAUUUUUUUUUUAAUUUGUAUUUGUUAUUUUAAAUUAUGUGUGUGUGUGUGCUCAGAGGCCAGAGGUAUUGGAUCCCCUUGGAGCUGCAGUUGCUGGAGGUGGUGAAUCAUUUGAUAAGGAUGCCGGGGACUGAACUCAGGUCCUCUGGAAGAGCAGUAUGUGUUUUCAACUGCUGAGUCAUCUUUAAAGUCCCCAGAUACAUUUAUUUAUGAGUUGUCAUCACAAACAUUUGAUUUAUGUAUCUAUUUUAUACACCUAUAUACCAGAGGUCAUGUUAAAAAACAAUCUUGGGUAAAAUGGGUGGCAAGGGAAAGUUCAAGGUUUAAGGGGCCUUGUCCCAGGGAAGCCCCUGUGUAGAAGUAGGCUUCACUUCUGUUUUAAGACAUUUUUUGCCA